GGCCUAUGGGGCGACCCAGGCUUAUCGCGUGCCUAUUGAAGAAUGAGCCGGCGACUUACUAGUACGGCGAGGUUAAGGACUGAGGUUCCGGAGCCGGAGCGAAAGCGAGUCUGAACAGGGCGUUUAGUCCGUAUUAGUAGACCCGAAGCGAAGUGACCUAUCCAUGGUCAGGGUGAAGCUCUCUUAACCGUGAGUGGAGGCCCGAACCGAUGUUUGUUGCAAAAGACUCGGAUGAACUGUGGAUAGCGGUGAAAUGCCAAUCGAACUUCGUAAUAGCUGGUUCUCCCCGAAAUAGCUCUAGGGCUAGCGUCGGGAUUUAAACACUGGGGGUAGAGCACUGACAGAGCUAGGGGCCCUGACCGGUUACUGAACUCCAUCAAACUCCGAAUACCAGUGUGAAUAUCCCGGCAGUCAGACUACGUGGGAUAAGCUGCGUGGUCAAAAGGGAAACAGCCCAGAUCGUCUGCUAAGGUCCCUAAAUUUCAGCUAAGUGGUAAAGGAAGUCAGAAUUCUUAGACAGCCAGGAGGUUGGCUUAGA
rnacentral:rRNA from 1 species